rnacentral:tRNA from 1 species
UGGAGAAGGUCGAGAAGGUAAAAUAAGAAUAAAGCCAGCUGCCUUUUAAGCAGCGGGUCCAAGGUUCGAGUCCUUGUGCACCCACCA